UCCGGUUGAUCCUGCCGGACCCGACCGGUAUCGGGGUGGGGCUAAGCCAUGCAAGUCGUACGUCCUCCAGCCACGUGGGGGACGUGGCGCACGGCUCAGUAGUACGCAGCUAACCUACCCUAAGGAGGGGGAUAAUCCCGGGAAACUGGGGCUAAUCCCUCAUAGACCUGGGGCACUGGAAGGUCCCUAGGUCGAAACGGGUGGACUGGCAUGCCGGUUCACCUGCCUUAGGAUGGGGCUGCGUCCGAUCAGGUAGUUGGUGGGGUAAUGGCCCACCAAGCCUAUGACCGGUGCGGGCUCUGAGAGGAGGAGCCCGGAGAUGGACCCUGAGACAAGGGUCCAGGCCCUACGGGGCGCAGCAGGCGCGAAACCUUCGCAAUGCCCGAAAGGGUGACGAGGCUACCCCGAGUGUCGUCCGCUAAGGACGGCUUUUGUCGGGUCUAAAAAGCCCGACGAAUAAGGGGAGGGCAAGUCUGGUGUCGGCCGCCGCGGUAAUACCAGCUCCCCGACUGGUCGGGACGAUUAUUGGGUCUAAAGCGUCCGUAGCCGGCCCUGUAUGUGAUCCGUUAAAUCCAGCGGCUCAACCGCUGGGCUGCGGAUCAUACUAUGGGGCUAGGGGACGGGAGAGGCCGGGGGUACUCCGCGGGUAGGGGUAAAAUCCGCUGAUCCGCGGAAGACCAACAGUGGCGAAGGCGUCCGGCCAGAACGCGCCCGACGGUGAGGGACGAAAGCCAGGGGAGCGAACCGGAUUAGAUACCCGGGUAGUCCUGGCCGUAAACGAUGCCCGCUAGGUCUUGGUGAAGCUUAGGGUUUCACCAGGGCCGCAGGGAAGCCGUUAAGCGGGCCACCUGGGGAGUACGGCCGCAAGGCUGAAACUUAAAGGAAUUGGCGGGGGAGCACCACAAGGGGUGAAGCCUGCGGUUUAAUUGGAGUCAACGCCGGG
rnacentral:rRNA from 1 species